UGCCAGCAGCCGCGGUAAUACGUAGGGUGCAAGCGUUGUCCGGAUUUAUUGGGUUUAAAGGGUGCGCAGGCGGCGUACUAAGUUAGUAGUUAAAGACAGCGGCUUAACCGUUGCGCGGCUAUUAAAACUGGUAUGCUUGAGUGUGUCAGAGGAAAUUAGAAUGCGUGGUGUAGCGGUGAAAUGCAUAGAUAUCACGCAGAAUACCGAUUGCGAAGGCAGAUUUCUAUGACAUAACUGACGCUGAGGCACGAAAGCGUGGGGAGCGAACAGGAUUAGAUA
rnacentral:rRNA from 1 species